AUGCACCCCACAGCCCGGUACCUCCCCCGCCAGGGGAGGGAAGAAGAUCAACUAGUGCUCCCCACUCCUCGCCUUUACUGAUGGAGUGGAAGUCCGGACCUAGGGACAGCGCCAUGAUGGAAGCUCGGUCCACCCCUGCCCGCAGCUAAAAAUAACCUAAUGGGGCGACGCUGGCGGCUGCCGGCCGGGAAGGGUUAAUGCUGCCGACGCUGGGCCGCGAGAGGGUGGGGACGGUGGUGGAGGCAGAACAGCCGGGCUGCGUCCCUGGGUGUGGCCGGAAACAAAGGAACCCCCGUCUUUACGCUUUAUCUCGGGGUGGGGAGCUGAGGGCGCAGCGGUCAGGAGCUGGCCCUCUGCCCCAGUUCCUGCCUGGCAUCAGCGUGGAGCCUGACUGUUCCUGAGGGAUGCGGACCACUGGAGCCCAUAGUGACCGACUCCUCAUCAAAGGUGGACGGAUCAUCAACGAUGACCAAUCCCUUUAUGCUGACGUCUACCUGGAGGAUGGACUUAUCAAACAAAUAGGAGAGAACUUAAUCGUUCCUGGUGGAGUGAAGACCAUUGAAGCCAACGGGCGGAUGGUUAUUCCCGGAGGUAUCGAUGUCAACACGUACCUGCAGAAGCCCUCCCAGGGGAUGACUGCAGCUGAUGACUUCUUCCAAGGGACCAGGGCGGCACUGGUGGGCGGGACCACGAUGAUCAUUGACCAUGUUGUUCCUGAACCUGGGUCCAGCCUACUGACCUCUUUUGAGAAGUGGCACGAAGCAGCUGACACCAAAUCCUGCUGUGAUUACUCCCUCCACAUGGACAUCACAAGCUGGGUCGAUGGCAUUCGGGAGGAGCUGGAGGUGCUGGUGCAGGACAAAGGCGUCAAUUCCUUCCAAGUCUACAUGGCCUAUAAGGAUCUCUACCAAAUGUCCGACAGCCAGCUCUAUGAAGCCUUUACCUUCCUUAAGGGCCUGGGAGCUGUGAUCUUGGUCCAUGCAGAAAAUGGAGAUUUGAUAGCUCAGGAACAAAAGCGGAUCCUGGAGAUGGGCAUCACGGGUCCUGAGGGCCAUGCCCUGAGCAGACCUGAAGAGCUGGAGGCCGAGGCGGUGUUCCGGGCCAUCACCAUUGCGGGCCGGAUCAACUGCCCUGUGUACAUCACCAAGGUCAUGAGCAAGAGUGCAGCCGACAUCAUCGCUCUGGCCAGGAAGAAAGGGCCCCUAGUUUUUCUGUGGGGACUUGCAGGUCACAGGCAGCGGCCACUGUCCCUACAGCACUGCCCAGAAGGCGGUGGGCAAGGACAACUUCACCCUGAUCCCCGAGGGUGUCAACGGGAUAGAGGAGCGGAUGACCGUCGUCUGGGACAAGGCGGUGGCUACUGGCAAAAUGGAUGAGAACCAGUUUGUCGCUGUCACCAGCACCAAUGCAGCCAAGAUAUUUAACCUGUACCCAAGGAAAGGGCGGAUUGCCGUAGGCUCGGACGCCGAUGUGGUCAUCUGGGACCCUGACAAGGUGAAGACCAUAACAGCCAAAAGUCAUAAGUCGGCGGUGGAGUACAACAUCUUCGAGGGUAUGGAGUGCCACGGCUCCCCACUAGUGGUCAUCAGCCAGGGCAAGAUCGUCUUUGAAGACGGAAACAUCAACGUCAACAAAGGCAUGGGCCGCUUCAUUCCACGCAAGCCGUUCCCGGAGCACCUGUACCAGCGCAUCAAAAUCAGGAAUAAGGUUUUUGGAUUGCAAGGGGUUUCCAGGGGCAUGUAUGACGGUCCUGUGUACGAGGUACCAGCUACACCCAAAUAUGCAACUCCUGCUCCUUCAGCCAAAUCUUCGCCUUCUAAACACCAGCCCCCACCCAUCAGAAACCUCCACCAGUCCAACUUCAGCUUAUCAGGUGCCCAGAUAGAUGACAACAAUCCCAGGCGCACCGGCCACCGCAUCGUGGCGCCCCCUGGUGGCCGCUCCAACAUCACCAGCCUCGGUUGAACGCGGAUGCGCGGAGGAGCUAGCCUGAAGGAUUCUGGGAAUCAUGUCCAUCCCUUUUCCUGUCAGUGUUUUUGAAACCCACAGUUUUAGUUGGUGCUGAUGGAGGGAGGGGGAAGUCGAAGGAUGCUCUUUCCCUUUUCUGUUUAGGAAGAAGUGGUACUAGUGUGGUGUGUUUGCUUGGAAAUUCCUUGCCCCACAGUUGUGUUCAUGCUGAAUCCACCUCGGAGCAUGGUGUUUUCAUUCCCCCUUCCUAGUGAACCACAGGUUUUAGCAUUGUCUUGUUCUGUCCCUUCCACUUCUAACUCCACUGGCUCCAUGAUUCUCUGAGUGGUGGUUCCUUUGCACCCUGUAGAUGUUCUAGGAUAGUUGAUGCAUGUUACUAAAUUACGUAUGCAAGUCUGUGAGUGCGUCUGAGGGGACAUCGCCAAGGACUGACUGAGACACGAUGCCGAGACCUCAAGCCCUGAGGGGCAGUCCCAAAACUCUUACAGUGAAGAUGUUUACUCAUUGCCCCCACCUCUGGUCCACACUAGAAAGAAGCUCACCCCACCUCCACCUGUGAGAUCCGUGAAUUCUCAGAAUGGCAGGGGAAGCCUUGCACUAGGUUGCAGAGAAGCAUCCUCCACAUCCUGUGUCAGAAACCCUGGUCUCCGUGGCACUUGUAACUCACCGUGCUGUCUUCUGGUCUGUGUGUGUUCUUCAAGCCAGCUCUAGGCUUCAGGCCGAGCCAGGUUCACACUCAGAAAGAGGUCUCCCCAUCCCCAUUUGGGGCUGCCGAUGGGGGGGUGAUGGCUGCCCCUGGGUGGCCUGAGUCCUGCUCCCUCUGAGGCAGUUGACGGGGCAGUCAGAUUUUUAAAGUUUUGUACAAAGUUUUCCUUUGUAAUCACUCCCAUUUUUACUUAACAACCAACUUGUUGUGGCUCUUAUUUCUGAAUUCAAAGCUUGUGAAAAAAUAAAGAAAAUGAACUGCCCACUG
rnacentral:sRNA from 1 species